GAAAUGGGUGAAUUUAUAUAUUUAUUUUUAAAUUUAAAGAUUUAGGGUUACAAAGAAACAUUCUUACAUACAAAUCUGUUAUAAAUGAUUAAAUGGGAUUAGGAGAAAUAGAGGGAAUGCGAGAUAUAAAAUGAAGUGAAGGGAGGGCAGAAAAUCCAAAGUAGGGGACCUGCAAAACCCAAGAACGCUUUGGCUCUUAUGUAUGGAAUUAACUGUUUGUUACAAAUAGUCUUUGUAUUGACCGAUAAAAAAAAGAAGUGAAAUUUGUUGCCGCUUUUGCUCCUUCCUUAACCUCCUCCUUUACCCCAUAAUAAACUCCAGCUUCCAUGGAAAUACAAGAGAGAAGAACAUCAGAGGUAGCUCUUUCUUUUUCUCGUAACUCAAGUGCAGGUGAGCAUCUCCUGUUUUCAUCGAUAAUUAAGAUGAUUACUUUUUUAUUUGUUUUCCAUGUGGAUUGGUUGGUGAAUCUGCCUGGCUCCCUGAAUGCCAUCUAAGAAGCUUUGUCAAGCACGGUUGGCUGCCUUCUUACAUGGCAUGAGGGGAGUCAUGCAGGUUUAACUGUUUCAUAUCUUCAUAAGGAUAUGGAUGAAUUCAUAGAUUUUUUAUGGGGUUUGAUCUUCAUCGGCUCAACAUAAUUGUUAAUAUUAAUGUUAGUUAGCUGUAUUUAGAUAAUUAAAGUGAAAGUGCGGGUGUGUAUUAUUUAGUAGCUGAGUUGAUAGACAAACUACUGAAGAUUAGACAAGAAAAAGAGAUGAUGAUAUUAUAUAAAAUCUAGCAAUAAAGUGAGGAGAUUUAAUAAAUUCUAAUGUUUGGCUGCUUAUUCAAAAAGUGAGUGGUUAGUGCUAAUAAUUUACUGCACAUGUGGCUGUCAUGGAAAGGAAUUCACACUGUGCAGGGCAUUAUAACACUCAUGUAGGCCCUUCUUUUUACCAUUAAUUUUAGGACCCAAUGUGUAUAAGCUACUAUCCAAAUAUUUGUAUUCAAGUCAUUGAAUUAUUAAGUUUUUUUUA